CACCCACCCAACUCCACUGUGACCACAGCAAGCUGAUCUCUGUACCAUGUAUGACCACGCAGAUCAAAUAUUCUCCACCAAUACCUGAUCUAUAGCUGGAUGUUACCACAGCCUGGUUACCCUCCUGGUUGACUUUUUAGACCAAAGCACAUCUGAACGACAGCGACACACAGAGAGCUGGGUGAUUUGAGUCUCCCUGAGUGCAAAGGAUUACAACAGCCCAAAGGAUUAAAGCUAAACCUGCAGCGCUUAGGGAACUGGCUCCACGGAGAGAUUUAUGAUGGCUUGGUAACUGCAGCCUGCUAGUGGAAAUACAGGAACUGAGUAUUGAUCCUUGGAAAAUGAUCAACAAUUAAAAUAAAAUAUAGACAGCUACAAUCCCAGUGGUCGCAUUGAAGAAGGAAAUGCUUCAUUCACACCUCAUAAGAGCGUUCAGAACAUGAGUGGAGGGCAGAUUUCUUCCUUCAUCAGUGGUUACGAGGCAUCAUAGAAAUACUUUCAUAAACAAAGAAAUUCAGUACAUCCGCCACAGCCUACAAAAGACGCCGCUGUGAUCCUGGAAAUGCUGGGAUUCCCAGGAACACCUGCAGCAAAGCAGAGUUUGGCCAUUCAUCCUUCAAGGACACUGAACGUGCUGCUACCUCAACCUUCGUGCAUCAGUUUUCCCUACGAUGAGGAGAAAAAACCCACUCUUUUGAAAUGCGAGUCAUUUGUAAUGUUACGUGCAGAAGAUUCUGGUGUCGUGAUCUUUCACUUUUGCCCUGCAUCUAAUACUGAGGAUCAUUCAGCCAUGAUGAAACCAGCUGGAGGAAACUCUCUCCUGCAAGACAUGAAGGCCAAUGAUGGUAUGAAAGAUAUGGGGCUGCUUUGUCAUUUGUUGCUCCAUAUUCCAUAUGUUUGUCUGAUUGGUGUAGGGCAAGGUCUAUUUAUUAAGACGACAGCUUGUGUGAAUUGCAGGCAGCUGACAGCAAAAAAUGAAAGCACCCAGGAAGGCAAUGCAGUGACUGAGCAGAACAGCCUUAAGGGAACUUUUGGGGAUGCUGCGAAAACCCAACGAGGACAAUAG
rnacentral:lncRNA from 1 species